rnacentral:rRNA from 1 species
UACAGAGGGUGCAAACGUUGUUCGGAAUUACUGGGCAUAAAGCGCGCGUAGGCGGCCGCGUAAGUGUGGAGUGAAAUCCCACGGCUCAACCGUGGAAUUGCUUGGCAUACUGCGUGGCUAGAGGACGGUAGGGGAGAGCGGAACUCCUGGUGGAGCGGUGAAAUGCGUAGAUAUCAGGAGGAACACCGGUGGCGAAGGCGGCUCUCUGGUCCGUUACUGACGCUGAGGCGCGAAAGCCAGGGUAGCGAACGGG